UGCGUAGGUGGUCUUGUAAGUCAGAAGUGAAAGGCUACGGCUUAACCGUAGUAAGCUUUUGAAACUGCAGGACUUGAGUGCAGGAGAGGAAAGUGGAAUUCCUAGUGUAGCGGUGAAAUGCGUAGAUAUUAGGAGGAACACCAGUGGCGAAGGCGACUUUCUGGACUGUUACUGACACUGAGGCACGAAAGCGGUGGGGAGCGAACA
rnacentral:rRNA from 1 species